UUCCCAGCUGGGAUCCUGCCCUCUUGGAGAAGCUCCUUCUGCCAACUCCCUCCUACCCAGGAGGAGACACCAAAGCACUGUGUCCCUGCCAGGAGACAAGCAGAGUGCUGGUGGGAUUUCCGAGGGGCACAGCUCUCCAGCUCAUCCAGCAGUGCAGAAGGGGGACAUUGGGCACAUGGGAACUGCAGGCCACCUGGUCCUGAGGCCAAACUUGUGAAUUCGUGUUCCACAACUUCCCCCGCUUCUCUCCACCUCCACACAACUCUGCUCUCUCACUGAUCACCUGCGUAAUUAAUGAAGAAAAGAGAAUUCACCUUGUCCAAACACCAAUCCAUGAAGGAAAGACCUUGCUGACGGAAGCAGUUUCUCUGCAGAGAUGUUCUACUGGCAUAGAGCUGGCAAAACUAUAUUAAAUUUUAACAGAAAGCUUAGAAGUUGCCUACAGCAAACCUUGGCCACAGGUCCACCACAGAUUUCAGUCUUAGAUACUCAUAUUUUGUAUUUCAAAACAGAACUUUAAUCCUCACAGCCUACAUCAACUAACCUUGGGAAUGCCAAGGUUUUUAUCACAAAAGCUUAGGAGGUCCCAAAAUUUUCUCAUCCAGAAGGCAUGUCCAGAAACAUCCCAAUUCCAGCAAGUUGGGAAAUGCCCAUCUUUGAGGCCUGAGCUUCAUUAGGAACUGCAAAGACUUACUCCCUCCAACAUUUUGCCCAAGGAUAUCCAUCCUACAGGCAAGCAGUACUUUUACCUAGAGAGGUUCAGUGCAAAAAUGCAUCAGCAAAGACCUUCUUCCAAAUCAGUUGUCAUCAUCACUGUGACU